GGGACGGUAGCUCAGCCUGGGAGUUAAAAAACCAAAAGCGCACGGCUGAAGACCGUGCUGUCGUGGGUUCAAAUCCCACCCGUCCCA
rnacentral:tRNA from 1 species